UCAACUGCCACAGAGAAGCUGUUGUAAGAAGGAAUUUUUAUGAUGUUGGAUUCAUCCCAUUGAACGAAGCACAAUCUAAAAGAUCAGAUUUGGUUGGCAUCAGGAGUCAGGAUGUAUGAAUCUUUCCUUGACUUCACAGAAUCAUUUUGAUAAGUUGACUAGAUGCAACUGAUGAUGAAUCAUUUUUAAUUGAUUGUCAGGACAAUUGCUUCCAACGUCAAUUAGUCUUCAUUUUGAUUUUAAUCUCAUGAUUAGAGGUAGUAGUAGUAGAAAGUUUAAGAUCAGUCCGAGUGAUUAGGAUUUUGAUUAUUAGGGCUCCCAACUAGCCAAUUAGGGCUCCCAAUGAAAGGCAAAUAAGAUGCUAGUUUUCCUUUUUUGCAUUAAAUUCAGGAUCAGUUUAUGAUUGUAAAAUUUUGUUGUUAGAGCCUCGAACUAACCUUCAUGAACUUAUGACAGUAAAUAGACAUGUGCAAGUCGGAGAGAUACGUAAAAAAGAUGCUAAUUCUAUGUUAAAGUUUCGAGUUUAAAAGAUAAUUACUUCUUAUAAUCAUCAUGUAAUAACUAAUAAAUAGCAGCAUAUUUCGG
rnacentral:lncRNA from 1 species